rnacentral:rRNA from 1 species
UACCCUACAGCUAGCUUAAGUCAC